rnacentral:rRNA from 1 species
GUGGGGAAUAUUGGACAAUGGGCGAAAGCCUGAUCCAGCCAUGCCGCGUGAGUGAUGAAGGCCCUAGGGUUGUAAAGCUCUUUCACCGGUGAAGAUAAUGACGGUAACCGGAGAAGAAGCCCCGGCUAACUUCGUGCCAGCAGCCGCGGUAAUACGAAGGGGGCUAGCGUUGUUCGGAAUUACUGGGCGUAAAGCGCACGUAGGCGGACUAUUAAGUCAGGGGUGAAAUCCCGGGGCUCAACCCCGGAACUGCCUUUGAUACUGGUAGUCUCGAGUCCGGAAGAGGUGAGUGGAAUUCCGAGUGUAGAGGUGAAAUUCGUAGAUAUUCGGAGGAACACCAGUGGCGAAGGCGGCUCACUGGUCCGGUACUGACGCUGAGGUGCGAAAGCGUGGGGAGCAAACAGGAUUAGAAACCCGUGUAGUCC